CCCCUCUCAGGGUGACACCUGGAGAGUUUCCAGUACUCUACCAGUUUCGGCUGCGGGAGGGAGAGUCAAGCAGAAGAUACCCAUUCCAUUCCUAGCUUGGGCAGUGGCUAACGAGUGGAAGGCAAUCUGCUACAAGU
rfam:Ornithorhynchus anatinus chromosome 11, whole genome shotgun sequence.